UGGGGAAUUGUUCGCAAUGGGCGCAAGCCUGACGACGCAACGCCGCGUGGAGGAUGAAGGUCUUCGGAUUGUAAACUCCUGUUGACCGGGAAGAAUUCCUUUGGGGUUAAUAACCUUGAAGGUUGACGGUACCGGUUGAGGAAGCCCCGGCUAACUCUGUGCCAGCAGCCGCGGUAAUACAGAGGGGGCAAGCGUUGUUCGGAAUUACUGGGCGUAAAGGGCGCGUAGGCGGCCGACUAAGUCAGACGUGAAAUCCCCUGGCUCAACCAGGGAACUGCGUCUGAUACUGGAUGGCUUGAAUCCGGGAGAGGGAUGUGGAAUUCCAGGUGUAGCGGUGAAAUGCGUAGAUAUCUGGAGGAACACCGGUGGCGAAGGCGGCAUCCUGGACCGGUAUUGACGCUGAGGCGCGAAAGCCAGGGGAGCAAACGGGAUUAGAUACCCAGGUAGUCCCUGAGCGGGCUGGCAAGGCGCAU
rnacentral:rRNA from 1 species